ACAUGACUUGCAGUUAACUCUAUAUAAAGGUGUUCCGAGUCAAGAUUUUUAUACAACUACAAAGAUGGACACAUCUGCAACAUUAGUCAUCUGUACAAUCUUCAUCUAUUUUUUUCCGAGUGUUUCGGCCAAACCACCACAUAUUCUUUUCAUCGUAGCAGACGACCUCGGUUGGAACGAUGUCGGAUUUCACAACCGUGAUGUUCUCACCCCGAACAUUGAUAAAUUAGCACGAAGUGGGAUGAUUCUGAAUUCAUCUUACGUAAACCCGGUCUGCACACCAUCAAGAAACUCAUUCAUGACUGGUCAAUAUGCCUUUAAAUCAGGGUUACAGCAUAUCGUGAUCCUUCCGCCACAGGCCACUUGUUCUCCUCUCAACUAUACAUUUUUGCCUCAAAAGUUGAAGGAACUUGGCUAUGAUACUCAUGCCAUUGGAAAGUGGCAUUUGGGAUUUUGUAAAUGGGAGUGUACCCCUACGUAUCGAGGAUUUGACACAUUCUAUGGAUUUUACAACGGCGCAGAGGACUACUAUACUCUAAGUGUCGUAAAAAUUGGAGGUAAAGACUUCAGAGACAAUAAAACCCCUGUAAACGCAACAGGUGAAUACUCAACAUUUUUGUAUGCCCGGAGAGCAGAGUCUAUAAUUAAGGAACAUGAUGCGUCCAAACCCAUGUACAUGUACUUACCUUUCCAAUCAGUGCACCAACCUCUUCAGGUCCCUAAGAAGUAUAGUGACAUGUACUCUAAGGUGCAUACAGAAUCCCGCCGGACCUACCUAGGUAUGGUAACUGCAAUGGAUGAAGCUAUCGGCAACAUUACAAAAGCUCUAAAGUCCAAAGGAAUGUUAAAUGACACUCUUAUUAUUUUUACUACUGAUAAUGGUGGUAUGAUUCCCUACGGUGGGAAUAAUUACCCUUUGAGGGGAGGAAAGACCACUUUGUUUGAAGGAGGAACUAGAGCAACUGCAUUUGUGUCCGGAGCAGGAAUAAAAAAGUCUAACAUUGAAUAUUCAGGGUAGGUAAUUUGGCUUUAGGAUAAAUCAAUACCAUAUACAUAUAUACGACAUUCUCACAUCACACUAUUAUCUGUAAAAUGUAUGUUUUAAAACCUAAAAUUAUAUAUCAAUAGGCAUAAGUCAAGAUUUGCUGUAAAGUCGCAUAACCACCUAGAUUUUCGACUGAUUGUUGAUUACUUUGUAAAGAUUUUUGUUUUCUUUUUUGUAAAUUAAAACGCUCAGCGCGCUUAAUAGACAGUUUUGUUUUUUACCAUACGGCUACUCCUUGAGAUUACAGUAAAGAAAUUAAGGUAUUUUUCAAAUACCAGUUGGAAAGUGAACGAAUAGAUAUGCCUCCUUAAGACAUUUAAAUACUGUUAACUUCCAUAUCUGUAGGAAUAUUUUAACUUCAAUGUCCUGUCUGUGUCAAGAUAUGCAUUGCAACGUAACACUGUCUCUCCUUCUAUUUCCUUACAUUUUUAUUUUUACAAACAAUGCUGUAAAAAUACAGAAAAACAUGUAUAAUUUUGCUCUUUUCAUUUAUAUUCAGAGGCGAAUUUUGUUUUGGAUCGGAAACUGUGUUGUAAAUUGCGCAGGCUGAUUUCAGUAUUAUUCAAUACGAAUUAUACUUGUACCAAAUGCAUUUUAAUAUGUCUAAAAUUCUUACAUUAAUAAAUCAAUGUUACAACUUUACUUUAUAUAAAGAUUGUUCGCAUUAUUAAAUAAUCAAGAUACUGAUCACGUAACUAAUCAGAACUUUUGUAUAGUUAUAAUCUUUGUAAUAAUUUCACAUUUGUUCGAGGAAGCAUUCUAUGAUUUCAUCUAUGAACUUUUCCAGUGAAUAAUUUUUAAGACUACUUAUAAUGCGAUGGACAGUUUUGCUUUUACUUUAAUAAUUUGAAUGAAUUGACGUUAAGAAUAAAACUCAUUAUCAAUUUUUGCAAUAUAGGAUGAUUCAUGCAGUAGAUUGGAUGCCAACAGUGCUAAGCGCCGCAGGAGGAACGCCAGACCCGACAUUGGAUGGUAUUGAUCAGUGGGAUAGUCUUCAAAAGGCAGGAGAAUCAAAACGAACCGAGUUUAUUUACAACAUCGACGAUUUAAAGCCGGAGAAUUGUGGCCACGCUGCUAUAAGGAUGGGUGACUACAAGUUGAUCGAUGGUUAUCCUGGGGCCUACCAAGACUGGUACAAGCCAGACCAGGUCGUGUCUGACUUGUAUAAAAAUGUAUCGAUAAACCACACCCGCCCAUUUGACGACAUAAUGAUGCUUUUCAAUCUUAAAGAUGAUCCUAACGAACAUGUAGAUUUGUCCAAUAAGCACCCAGAUAUAGUGAAAAAAUUGAAGUCGAGACUCGAGUACUAUCACAAACAAAUUGUUCCUGCAAAUUUCCCAAGCAUUUCGCCUUCGUCAGCGCCGAGCAAUUACGGAGGAUUUUGGACACCUGGGUGGUGUUAAUUUUAUGUAAUCUGAAAGACUCUGUGACUUCGUUCUUUAACUUAUUUUAUCAUGAAUAUAUGGAGCCUUACAUGACAUAAGGAUUUUUAAAAUGGUUUUUCAUUGUAAAUUUAAAGUAAAUUUCAUUAACUUUUUCUAAUAACAUCUGUUGGCAUGUGAAGUUUACAAAUACUCACACCUGUGUUGAAUAAAUGAGUUUGAGAUUAUAAC
rnacentral:misc_RNA from 1 species